CCUACGGGAGGCAGCAGUGAGGAAUAUUGGUCAAUGGGCGGGAGCCUGAACCAGCCAAGCCGCGUGAGGGAAGAAGGUACAGCGUAUCGUAAACCUCUUUUGUCAGGGAACAAAGGCGGGGACUAGUCCCCGGAUGAGGGUACCUGAAGAAAAAGCAUCGGCUAACUCCGUGCCAGCAGCCGCGGUAAUCCGGGGUAUGCGAGCGUAAUCCGGAUUUACUGGGGUAAAGGGGUGCUCAGACGGCCUGGUAAGGCAGCGUUAAAAGCCCGGGGCUCAACCCCGGCGAGCCGUUGAAACUGGCGGGCUGGAGUUGAGGAGAGGUACGUGGAAUGCGCGGUGUAGCGGUGAAAUGCUUAGAUAUCGCGCAGAACCCCGGUUGCGAAGGCAGCGUACCGGCUCGACACUGACGCUGAGGCGCGAAAGCGUGGGUAUCGAACAGGAUUAGAUACCCUUGUAGUC
rnacentral:rRNA from 1 species